rnacentral:tRNA from 1 species
GAGGGUGUAGCUCAGGGGUAGAAGCGUAUGCCUAGCAUGCAUUAGGUCCUGGGUUCAAUCCCCAGUACCUCCA